GGAAAAAUAGCAAGCAUAAAUCAGAACAUCAAAGUGAUGGACAGACUGGUCCUGUGAUUUCCUGCCUCAGCCAUGCCCUGAUUGCUGCAUCUUGGCAAGAUCGCUUCUUAAAAGGCCUCAACUGGUCAAAGGUUUUUUUGCUAUCUUUAUUUCCCAUGUUCUGCCUGAAUUGAAGCGCACCUCUUUAGUGUUUGCUUCCAACCCACUGAUGGAAUAUUUCAUUCCUCCCCCAACCCGUUGGUUUUUUCUGUUGGAUCCUGCUAUAUUUCACAGAGGACAUGUGUGAGUUAUUCAAGUUCCUACACCUCAUUUGGAUGACAAUGUUUCUGUAAUGAGAAUUGAGAGCAGCAACUGGCACAAUGUGAAUACAUUCUGAUGGCAAGGAUUGUAAAUGAGAAUUGUGAACCUGACACCCUUCCUGAA